GGUUCACGUCCAAGUUGUCACUUCCAAUGUCUGCAUUCCACAGUGUAAGGGUCUGGUUCGGUCGCAGCUUGAAGGAGCUCUUGGUGUGUUCCCCGAGGCCGAAUAGAGAGGCUCUUUGUGAUGGAAGAGAGGAAGAGAGCUGCAGGUAUUGAUCCUUAAAAAUAAGAAAAGUUUCGGGGUUGGAAGGGUUAGGUGCCGUGUUGAAGAGGACAUCGUUGGAGGAUUUGCGCGAGACUGUGAAGCCAAAUGGGGUGGUGUUGUGGAGAGUGAAAACAAGGUCUGAGUCUGGAUGUGUGAGACUGAGAGAGUGUUGGAAACCUUGGUUGGUAUUGAAGUAGUAAAGAGGGUAAUAUUGGGAAGGGGACCCUCUGGGAAGGACUUGUUGGGGUAUUUCCCAUCUUUGGUUGUUGGAGUCAGUGAUUCUUACUCUCAAUCUAUCCUUGUUCUCAAAACUGCAUGCAAUUUAGAACAAGCAAUAGUAGUAUUAUUUAGACUGAUACAUCACAUAGAUAUGACAAACUAUUAGGUGAUAAUGAAUCUUCACAUGAUAUGUUAUCAAGUGUCAUUAGUUUUUUGAAAAUUUUUAAUACCUGUAAUGUAAAAAUUGAUUAGGAUCCGUCAUAGACACUUAUUCUCUAGAACUAGAAAGUAAUUAUAUCAGACAAGUUAAUGAUAUGAAUUACGUUAAGUGUGAUUGACUGAAUGGACAAUAGUCAACAUCGUUAAUUAAUUGGAUGUUGUUACCUGGCAGCAAGAGAGAGGUGCGGAAUGUCGGGUCCGAAAACCGAGGAUGGUUUGAUGAGUUUAAGGUUUGCAGCCAAGAGACGCUUAUGGGAUAACUGUUAACAGUUGAGAUGAUGUAGCCAUAACCAACUGGUGUUGCUUCUGACAAAGAACUGGAGCAGAAGCCAAGACAAACACAGAUACAGAAUAGUAGUGGAGUGAUGACAGUGGUUGUAGCCAUGUGUUGAUGUGGGUGUGGAUGUGAAACGAAGGAUGAUCGUGGAAGGAAGGCGAGUUGACUUUCAUGUCUUUUACUUUGUGAGCUUUACUACCUGGAACCAAUCACCACUUUUUCCUCACGGGUAUUUAUAAUUUUAAAAAAUCGAUUUUUGAUCACUUGAGGAUAUAUGAAAUAGUAUUACAUUAAUCCUUUAUAAUUUGCUAACAUAUGAUGGCAUUUGUCCUGCUGCUAUCUCUACGAAUUGUUAGAGGAGACUGUUUCCGUUGCACAAGGUUGCAAUAAUCAUCAAGAAUAUGUAGGUGUUACCCCAUAAACUUCCACACCGCGUUAUAUUAAAUACUCUGAUUAUAUCACUUCACACUGUAACGUGCUUGUGUAGAGUGGGUUUUGAAUUUUCCAGAAUUACAUUCAAAAAUCAAUUAACAUGAUUUUAAGUAAAUUUUUAUAUAUUUGAUUCUGCAAUCUGGAUAUGAUUUUGGUUUUAGUGUUGAUUUUUAAGUUGAAGCAAUUUAGGUAACUUUACAAAGUUUUAGAAUUUUUUUGGUUACAUUACUAACUUUUAAAAUAAAAACAUCAAAACAUAAAUCACACUAUUUUAAAAUCAAAAUUAACCAAAUUAAAUUCAAAAUCAACAUUAUUAGCGUUCAUCCAAACACACAUGUUAGAUGUGCACAGAACAAUUAUUCAUGUAUUUGAAUUUAGCGUCUCACUUUAUUUACUGUGAUUCUGUCUUGACACUAGUGACAUGCUUGUUGUAGAUGUGCAGAGUGUAUUAUUUGUGCACUUGUUAGGAAAUGGGAAUCCAAGUGAAUUGUGAUUUGCAAGCGGAGUUGUGAGUGGAACGUGGGUUAUGAAUGAAAUCCCGCAUUGAAAAUAAAGUCAGAAUCAAAUAAAGUCAAAGGACCAAUUAACCUAUUCAGUUGGGACCUGAGAUUUGGUGUCAGAAGCAGUUUGUGGUUUCCUCGGUAAGUUAAUAAAUCUCAUAUAAGUUGAACUACAAAUGAAACAGUAGUUUCUAUUAUCAGUCUACGCAAAAGAUGUUUGUGGAUACUGCACUGCUAGCAUGAAUCCAACUAAAUAGAGUGUGAAGAGUUAUAAGAGUAGGACUCAUGGAACCUCAACUAAAGGUAAUUGCUACAUUGAUUGCAUAAAUUAAGAGCGACCACCAGUACUAGGUAAUACUCACCCCGUUAUUGAUAGGCAGACAUACGUUUAGGCUUGAACUUCAUAGCCAUGUUGACAAUAUUCUGUAAAAUUUAUUCCUGACACAAAAUAUGACAUUUUAUGAAUGUUUGUGUCGUGGUUUGGGAAAAUGACAUCCUUAUAUAGUAACCUUAGCAGUGAUAAAACGAAGAGCCAAAACGAUGCAACUAUAAAGAGAGCACAAAUUCUUUGUGGGAAUUUGCUAUCUUAAAGUACCCUUCUACUUGAUUUCUAUCUCCAGCUUGAAUUCCUCUCCAAUAGGAAGUGACAAUUUUGAAACUUGUACAUUAACAAAUUGAGAAGAGCUAUCAAAUUCUGACUUCACAACUGCCGUCCUCAUUGAAUCCAUGCCAUUCACAAUUUUCAACUCAUUUCCUGCCAAAUCCAUUCCAUUAAAUCUCUUAUUCUUAGGUAUCCCCAAGAAACUUACAUUGUCUAUGAUCCACCUUUGGUCCAGAGCAAAUCUUGCAUUAGUGACCUUAGAUGUUACUAAAACACUGUUGUUGUGUAAUGCGCCAUAAAAGCUUGCCAAUGUCCACUGAUCAUUCACCCCUGCUAUGUCAAGUGCCUCCCCAUCAUCCAAAUACACUUGUCCAAAACUACUUCCGCUGUUACUGAUAACUACCACAAGUUGAAAUGCAGUUUUCCGGGCAGCAACAGUUGUUAUUGCUUCACCUUGCAAAGCUAAAAUAUUACCUUCCCCAACAUGCACAUUUAUGUGAUCAGAUGGAGCAUCAAGAGUAACAUACUUGCCUGAUUCUGCAUUCACUGAAUUUGAGACAUUAAAGAGGUCAAACCAGCUUCCUUUAGGAAAGUAUGCAACAACAGAGGUUGCCCCAGAUUGUAGCACAGGUGACACCAGAACCCCUUUACCUAAUAGAAAUUGUGAGCUUAUUUCGUAAGUUGUGACAUCCUCAGGGAAAGAAAAGAAAAGGGGUCGUGCAAUUGGUGUCCCUUUUGUGUGUGCUUCAUACAUCAGUGUGUACAAAUAAGGGAGAAGACGAUAACGGAGGCCAAGCACUUUCUUAGCUGAAUCUGCAACGGAGUCCCAAAGAUAAAGCUCUUGCCUAUUGGAGUUCUUGUCUGAAUGAUCUCUUGCGAAGGGGUAAAAAGCCCCCAACUUCAUUGAGGAAAAUAAAAGAAGUUAAAUAUAUAUGUUUAUUUAUUUCACACAAGUCAAAAUAUUAUCCAUACUACUGAAUCAAUUUUACCUGGAUCCAGCGCCGGCAAAGUUCUUCAGUUGUAUUUCCUCCGAAACCACAUAUAUCUGCUCCAACCAUUGGAAUUCCAAAGAUUCCAGAAUUUAAUAUCGCAGGGAUUGAGUAUGCCAAAUCAUUCCAUGUAGCAGCAUUGUCUCCUGUCCAGUGGGCAGCAUACUUACCAGAACUCACAAAAGUUGAUCUACUUAGGAUGAAUGGCCUUUUGCCAGUUAUAUCCUUUAAGGCUUUGUUAGUUACUUUGGAUUCUAGUAGUCCAUAUAAAUUGUGGACAUUAUACUCAGUGAUAUUACCAAAGUGUAAAGAUGUUGCUGGAACUGUUCUGUCAUUAAUGGAAUGUUGAUCUCCAACAUUGUUAAUUUUAUAGGGAGGAUUAUCAAGAUUAGAAAAUGGAAUGGGAGGAGAAGUAAUGAAAUUAGAUAACUCAUUCAUGUCAAUCCAAAGACCAUCAAUAGGGAGCAGGUCCCUAAAUAAUUUGAUUUCCCGGCCCCAAAAUGCUUGGCUGCGAGGGUUUAGAAAAUCAGGAUAAUAAACUGGUCCAGGCCAAACUUUACCAAGAUAGUUGCUUCCAUUCCUCUUUAUGUAGACAUCAGCCUGCAAACCUCUAAUAUAGGUUGCAUAUGUCUCAUUUACACUGAUACCUAUUUCCAAAAUUUGCCUCAAAUUAAUAAAAAAAAAUGUACAGAUGCUUCCUCAAGCAUAAUGAUUUUGAUUUUCGUUUUUAAAAAAAAAUUUAUGGUGUAAAAAUUAGGUACCUGGAUCCACGAUAAGCACAUAUUUCUGACCAUUCUUGUGAAGAGUAUCAACAAAACUUCUCAUCUUAUCCAGCGGAAAGUUGAUUGGAUCAAAUGUGAAAUCUUUAUAUGCAUCCAUGUAAUCGAUAUCUGUCCACAUAACUUCAAGGGGUAUACUUGCUUUUGCAUAGUUGGCAACCACAUCCUGGAGAUCACUUACAUUCUUGUAGCCAUAUCGACACUGAUGAAAACCUUCACAAUAGAUAAUAAUUAUGUGGAUUAACAAGGGAAGUAGAUAAAAUGGAUUAGCUUGAAUAGACAGAAAAAUUGCAAUUGAUAAGUUAGAUUUUGAUGUCUGUGGCCCAUUCCAUAGAUAAAUUCAUAAAGUACACAAGGUUCACCAACACAUCUUUAAUUCAAUGAGGCAUGAAUCGACCAUUUGUCCUUGGAAGAAACAGAGUAGCAAGAUUCGUCACUAACAAAAUAGAAAAUGUGAUCACUUGUCAAUGCUAAAAGUUUUCAAGAAGGAAAAGAAAACAAAGCCAUUUUAGCUUUAUCUCCUACUAUUUUUACUUCAGAUACGAAAAGGAAUCAUGCUAUAUUUACUAGCCUCUCUUUUUCGAGAAAACAUGUAAAUAACUUCCUUUAUUAAUGCCAUAGCAUAAUUGUAGCUCAUUAUUCCUCUGCCUUGAAUCUACAGUAUGUAUAUGUAUCUACAAUAUGAGAACCAAUAUUCACUCAAAAACUUAUGUAGCAAAAAGUAAACAACUAAACAUAUGACUAACUGCUUUGUUCCCAGGUAUCUGUAACACAAAAUCACAGGACACUGGAAACUACAAGACUAUAGAAACAAGCUAAGCAGUUGUACUACUCUAUUAUCAAUGAUACAAUAACCUGUAGAAAAAAUUACACCUCCUUUCAAGUUUCAAAGCUUGUCAUUUCUAUAUUAUUUUUCUUUAACAAUAGUUAAAAACAAUGAAAUUGAAGACUCAAAAGCAAAAUUUUAUAAAAUUGUCUGCAAUUUUGGCCACAAUGUUAAGGAUUUUAGAGUAUCUGUGACUGCAAUUACAGCUGCCUGGCUGCAUUAAUCGCAUUUGUCUUUAAAUUCUCGCAAUAUCAAGGAUCGCAACAACACUUCGAUCAUGACUGCAAUUAAAAACCUUGACUUACCAAAGGACCAAUAAGGCAUGGGAGCAGGCCUGCCAAUGAAUUCAGUGUAUUGCUCCAACACCAGUUCAGGAGUUGAUCCAACGAAAAAGUAGAAAUCAAAAACCCCACCAAUGACCUUAUAUGUAAUUUGAUCACCGCCAUACAUAAUGUCCAUUCCAUUGCUGUUGAAUAACAACACCCCGUGUGUGGUGCCAGCCUUCACUUUUCCAUCAAAAGAGGAUGAUCUCACGUCCAAGUAAAAAGGGUGAGAGCCAUAAAGGUUCAAGUCCAAGUUGGCACUUGCAAUGUCUGCAGUCCACAGUGUAAGGGUCUGGUUCGGUCGCAGCUUGAAGGAGCUCUUGGUGUGUUCCCCGAGGCCGAAUAGAGAGGCUCUUUGUGAUGGAAGAGAGGAAGAGAGCUGCAGGUAUUGAUCCUUAAAAAUAAGAAAAGUUUCGGGGUUGGAAGGGUUAGGUGCCGUGUUGAAGAGGACAUCGUUGGAGGAUUUGCGCGAGACUGUGAAGCCAAAUGGGGUAGUGUUGUGGAGAGUGAAAACAAGGUCUGAAUUUGGAUGUGUGAGACUGAAAGAGUGUUUUUUCUGAGGGGAACCUUGUUUACUAUUGAGGGAGCGAAGAGGGUAAUACUGGAAAGAGG
rnacentral:lncRNA from 1 species